ACCCUCCCAAUCCUCCGGUGAGGUCCUUCCAGACUGCCCGGGAAAGAGGUGAGGCAGUUGACCUGGGGAGGUGUUCAGAGCCUCACCCUCAGUCACCCAGCCAGAGGCACCCACGCUGAAUUUAAAGGUGGCCUUAAUUCUGGCAUCCUCUGCACCGCACUCCAUGGAAGCAGCACGUGACAACAGGUGCAUGCCAGGAAACAACUGAGCCUGGACCCAGAGUCUGGCCUGAUUGUCCCAAGGCUCCAGUCAUUGUGCCGGAUUCAAGUGUCAAGUCAAGGUCAGGAGGGCCACGAUGAGAACUGAUGAAGACUCCCAAUCCUGGCAGGAGGCUGGUCCUCCGUCUCCAUAAACACGAGCUCUGGCAGAGACGUCUGCAAGCCUAGAUCUUUACAGCUGGGCUAGUGGCUUCAACCGUCUGAAGGGCAGACUCAACAACUGCCAACCGGUGCGCUGUCCAGAAGAUGCUUUCUGCGUGGCCCUGCAAUGCAAAGUCCCCAAGCCCAAUCCCAAUGUGCCUUCCUGGUGUUCCUGGUCGCCUAGAGUUUUCACCUCCUUUGUCCCCAGUGCUGGGCACCUUCCCUAUUUAAGUAUUAUCCUAGCUGAUCACUGCUUACAGAAAGCCCAUAUUCUUCAUUUUCAUUGAUAGAGUUCCCAGAGCUCUAGCCAGUGCCUGGCAUCAAGCAGGGGCUGAAUGAGAGCGUGUGGAGGGCUUCCCUGGGGGCUUAGUGUAAAGAAUCUGCUUGCCGAUGCAGGAGACAUGGGUUCCAUCCCUGAUCUGGGAAGAUCCCACUUGCUGUGGAGCAGCUAAGCCCAUGCGCCACAACUACUGAGCCUGUGCUCCAAAGCCUAGGCUGCAGCUACUGAAGUCCCUGCGCCCUAGAGC
ensembl:lncRNA